rnacentral:rRNA from 1 species
CCCUUAGAUGUCCUGGGCCGCACGCGCGCUACACUGAGUGUCUGAGAUACGAGUCUGCCUGGUCCGGCAAGGUCUAGGUAAUCGCUAAAAGACACAUCAUGCUUGGGAUAGAUUAUUGCAAAUAUUAAUCUUGAACGAGGAAUUCCUAGUAAGCGCAAGUCAACAGCUUGCGUUUAUUACGUCCCUGCCCUUUGUACACACCGCCCGUUGCUACUACUGAUUGGAUGUUUAAGCGAGGUUCUCGAACUGCUAGCGACUUAGCUUCGGUGAGGUCGCAGUGUGGGAAGUGAACCUAGCUUUGGUGUCUAGAGGAAGUAAAAGUCGUAACA